rnacentral:tRNA from 1 species
GUGGCCGUAGCUCAGCCCGGUAGAGCACUGGAUUGUGGCUCCAGUCGUCGCGGGUUCAAAUCCCGUCGGUCACCCCA